rnacentral:rRNA from 1 species
GACGACGCUGGCGGCGUGGAUUAGGCAUGCAAGUCGAACGGUAUCAUCCUUUCGGGGGUGAGAGAGUGGCGAACUGGUGAGUAACACGUAGGUUAUCUACCCUCAAGACGGGACAACCCAGGGAAACUUGGGCUAAUACCGGAUGUGAGCAACUUUUAGUUGUUUGAAAGGUGGCGUAAGCUGUCGCUUGGGGAUGAGCCUGCGUCCUAUUAGUUGGUUGGUGAGGUAACGGCUCACCUAGGCAAUGAUAGGUAGGCGGCCUUAACGGGUGGUCGCCCACACUGGGAUUGAGAUACGGCCCAGACUCCUACGGGAGGCAGCAGUCGAGAAUAGUCUACAAUGGUCGGAAGACUGAUAGUGCGACGCCGCGUGAACGAUGAAUCCCUUCGGGGUGUAAAGUUCUUUUAUAUGUGAGCAGUGCUUCUUAUAUUAACAGUAUGGGGAGAGAGAUAUUAGCAUAUGAAUAAGCAACGGCUAACUCCGUG